rnacentral:lncRNA from 1 species
AUGCCGCCUCAGACUCCAUCUCCCAGAGGUCCCCGCGGGAGUCCGCCUCAGAGGACUACACCGCCCAGAAUGCCCUCAAACUCCAACUCCCAGAGAGCCCCGCGGACAUCCCGCCUCAGACUCCAUCUCCCAGAGGUCCCCGCGGGAGUCCGCCUCAGAGGACUGCACCUCCCAGGAUGCCCUCAAACUCCAUCUCCCAGAGAGCCCCACGGACAUCCCGCCUCAGACUCCAUCUCCCAGAGAGCCCCGCGGACAUCCCGCCUCAGACUCCAUCUCCCAGAGAGCCCCGCGGACAUCCCGCCUCAGACUCCAACUCCCAGAGAGCCCCGCGGGAGUCCGCCUCAGAGGACUGCACCGCCCAGAAUGCCCUCAAACUCCAACUCCCAGAGAGCCCCACGGACAUCCCGCCUCAGACUCCAUCUCCCAGAGAGCCCCGCGGACAUCCCGCUUCAGACUCCAUCUCCCAGAGAGCCCCGCGGACAUCCCGCCUCAGACUCCAACUCCCAGAGAUCCCCGCGGGAGUCCGCCUCAGAGGACUGCACCGCCCAGAAUGCCCUCAAACUCCAACUCCUAGAGAGCCCCGCGGACAUCCCGCCUCAGACUCCAUCUCCCAGAGAGCCCCGCGGACAUCCCGCCUCAGACUCCAUCUCCCAGAGAGCCCCGCGGGAGUCGCGCCUCAGACUCCAUCUCCCAGAGAGCCCCGCGGGAGUCGCGCCUCAGACUCCAUCUCCCAGAGAGCCCCGCGGGAGUCGCGCCUCAGAUGACCACAUCUCCGAGAAAGCCCCGGCGGUCGUCCGCUGCAAGCUCCAUUUCCCAGAGAACCCCGUGUCCAUCCUCCAAGGACUCCGCCUCUCCCCUCCCUCAGAGAACUCUGCCUCCCAGAGCUUCGUGGGCGUCCCCUCUCAGACUCCAUCUCCCAGAGUCCCGAGGGCGCCCCACCUCAGACUCCUUGCACCGAGCGACAGCCUCAAAGGACUCCAUCUCCCAGAGGUCCCUGCCGGCAUCGUGGGUCAGAGGAAAGCAUCUUCCAGAAUGCCCCAUGCGCAUUAA